GGAACCGUGUCUCAUGAUGUGUGAGAUCAGAAACGUCGGAGGGGGGAGUGUGUCCACUCAUCUCCCACUUUUCUGAAAGCACGACCACCCGAGUCCCUGUGUGUGUGUCUGUUUUUCUCUGUUCGGGGGACAGGUGCGUCAGGGUAACACGGGGGUCAGGACUGGCUGCAGUGAGACUGGGGCGUGUGGCGGCUGCUCAGCAGUCUACCGUCUUUGCGUUCUUCAGAGAUUGUGGGGGGCAUGUCUCACAUUUGCCAUUUCUGAAGAUGUUAUCUCAAGAAGUAUUUGUGAGGACCAAACUAUGCAUCAUUCUACAGUCCUGAAGGGUUUUACAUGUAAAGUUCUCUCUUUUUUCCUCCACUUUCUAUAUCCACAACAGUACAUUUCUAGGGUCAUAGCAUUGAUAAACAUGUAUUGUUCUUUUUCAUGUACACAAAAAACUGCCUCAUUCAGAACAGUAAAUACUUUUUACUUUUGCCCUGACUCCCCAUGUUUGCUUUCUAGACUCAAGUGAGGAGCCAUUCACUUGAUGCUCCAGCCAAUUCCCAGCUUUGCUUCCAGCGACUCAGGGUUGCCCCCGAGACUGCUGCAAAGGGCCCCCAGAGCCGGUGCCAGCGGCCAGACACUUGGAAACUUCGGGACACGGUGAAAGGCCGAAGACUGCAACUCUGGGGUCCUGUGAAUAAAACCUUCCCAGAUCUUUGAGAAACCUUCACUUACAGAGAUGGCCUUCAUACGGUGGAGAUACACAGCACCUUUCCGUGUGGCUGACUGACGUCACUGAACACAGUCUUCGGGCUUCCCCGUGUUGCAGCAGAGACUCUGUUGUUGCUGGUUGCGGGCUUCCCGGUGGCCCCCCUUCUGCUGGGGCCCUGGGGCUGAGGGUGCACGGCUGCCUGCCUGCCCGCCCGCUGCCCAGGAAGUGUCUGCCUCUCCAGGAGGACGAGAGACGUCCAGCUGACUUCCCCUCGAUGGAAGGAGUGAUGUGGCUUGCUGUCACCUCAUGGGUGAGCAGAGAGAUGUGCCUGCCAGGCUCAGAGUGCAUGCCGCCUGGCUUUUGGUCCAGGAGGAAUCCAGCACUUCACCAGCUGCCCAGGGAGACAGCAUAAGACACCACGGGCAGGACGUGUGGGAAAGUGGUCUCUUGGAACUAGUGUGUCCCCUGGUCUGGUGGGGUGGCCAUGUGUGGCCACGUGACCCGCACAUCCUUCAGGCAAUUGUCUCCCCAGGACCAGAGCCUCUGCCCUGGGCAUGCUCAGAGCCUUCAACACAGCCUCCUCCUCCCAAAGGGCAGAGUGGCGCUGCUCAGGGGGCCAUUGGGGGGCCACGGCCUCCGGGCAGCAUCUGGACUGAGGGCCAGGUCAGAGGGAUAGCAGGGCCGUGGGCUCCGAGCGGGCCCUGGUGCCCAGUCACCCCCCAGAGCCUGGCUGCUGACUGUGGGCAUGUGCUUUAGGUCCUGCGUUUGCUUUCUAACUUGGACAGUUCAUAGUGGAAGGAAUUCAAGAGCAGAUUUAUUCCAGUGUGCUUGAAUAACGCAGCUGAGCAUAUCACUCACAUCCCUGCACGAAGGAGGCGGCAGCCCCGUGGGGAAAGCCCCGUGUCCUGCGGGCAGCGGGACGUCUUCAUCUGCAGACUGGACUUGCUGCCGGUCGCUGGACCUGGCUGGGGGUUCCCUGGACUGGCAGCCGCUUUCUAGAGGUGUUUCUUUCAUACCGAGCAUCUCCACUAGUGCCGUGUGACAGAUAAAAGCUUGAGGAAUAUUCCUGAAGACUCUGCUGUUCAUGUUGGUCUGUGGACGGGUGUCUCUGGGUGUGGACGGUGAGCGCUUGAGGCCGGCGAGCCCGUCCACAGCCCCGCGGUCAUGGCACGAGGAGGGGGUGUCUGUGACGCAGCGUGGUCUUCCUGUGCCCAUCUUCUCUAUCUUCCCCCUGGAGAAUGUCCUGUGUCUGCCGCGUGACUUAGAGUGACUCGAUGUCCUAGGAAGCAGAGGCGGAGGCUGCCCUCAACCUUUCCCGGAUCUGGGCAGACAGGCUGCCCGCCUGAGGGCUUGCUUCAGCCAGAAUCCAGAAAGAGCCCCGUCAUUUUGCAGUAAACAAUGAUGCACCUUUUAUUGCAUUUAUAAAUGUCCCCAGAGGCUAUUACUCAAAAGGGGUUCAGUUAAUAAAUACAUAACUAAUAAUUACCUUGGUUCAGAGUGCUGACUUGUGUAACUGCCAUCGGGGUCAAGUAUGUCCGUUUGCUCAA